AACAGUGCUCAGCCAGCCUUGCAUAAGAGAGGCAGUGAUCGAGGGUAACAUAUUCAUAGGUGUCUAUAUUCAGAAGAACUACACUUACAGACUGAAAAAAGCAAAUAGAGGGUAUGAUGAUUUCCUGGGUCUGCCUUGUCAUCUUUGCAUGGUAUUGUACCAUUGCUUUAUCCUGUCCUGAACAAUGCACUUGCUAUUCAUCUCCUAAUGGCACUGCUGUUGUGUGUGUGUCUCUCACAAAUUUUCCAAAAGCUAUCCCCAGCGACACAGUAUCUCUCUCCAUUGAGUUCACCAACUUGACCAACAUAGUCUCUGAAGAUCUGAGGGGGUUUUCCAGCCUACAGGAGCUCCACCUGUCUGGGAACCAGAUCAGAAAGCUGCCUGAGGACUUCCUCCGUCACCUCCCUCUGCUCCACACACUGGAUCUCACUGGAAAUCUUCUGCAGGAUCUUCCGCCUGGAGUAUUUUGCUGUUCUCCGCUGCAGAAUUUGGUCCUUAAAGGCAACCGGUUCCUGUCUGUCAAUCCUCUAUGGUUCCAAGGGAUGAGCAACUUGACCUGGCUGGACCUUUCAGACAACAAACUGAGCUCCCUCCCCUUGGCUGCUUUCCAGAAUCUGUCUUCCUUGAAAACCUUGAGCCUCGGCAACAACAAGCUGGAGAAGCUGCCAGAAGGUUGUUUAAAUGCCCUGCCAAGCCUGGAGAUCCUCCAUCUUGAUGACAAUGAGCUCAGCUCCCUUGCUCCUACCACCUUUGACUUCACAGUAAGACUGACCCAGCUUAACCUCCAAGAUAACAAACUGAAGAAGCUCCCACAAGGACUUUUUCAAAAGCUUCAAAGGCUGGAAAUCCUGAGUUUAAAUGACAACAGGCUGACUGCAGUUCCACUGGGGCUCUUUGACAAACUGGAGGUAUUGGGUGUAGAAACAGGACAAGGUCUGGAUCUUUCCGGAAACCCCUGGAAAUGUGACUGUGAAGUGGCAUACCUGUGGCAAUGGCUGACCAACCACAAAGACAAAGUGUUCUUCCAAAACAAAACCCAGUGUGCAACACCGGAUGAACUUAAAGGGAAACCUAUCACAUCCCUAACUGAGCAGGAGGUUGCUGGGUCUUGCUAAGAAGGUCUGCAAGAUUAUUGGACCUUUCAGAUCAACAUUUGACAACCUGAGAAUCCAGCACUAUCCCAAAACCCUGAUAAAAAAUAACAGCUUUAUCUGUUGCAUCGUGUUUGCUAUGAUUUGUUCACUCAGAGACAUGUACUGUAUAAAAACUGGUUCAUAUUAGAACAACAUGACAGAAGGCCACAAGAUGGCAUCAAACUCACAUCAGUUUGAGAUUCCAUUCUGUUAUAAUUAAAGGACAGGCAAAUAGCUUUAAAACAUUAAAACAUUACAUGACAGUUAUGUUUUAUAUCUUGGUCAGAGGUAAGGAAAAUAAUUACACUAUAUACACAGAUUAACAGGGUAUUAAAAAACCCAGAUCACACACACUUUACCAAAAAAACACUUAAGACCUUCAGUUGUGAAUACUGGAAAAAAGCAGUCCACUGAAAAUGUUAAUGUAAAAGCUGAGAACAAGUGUAUGAAGUGAGUUCAAGAGGCCAUCUGAGAACAGGUGUAGGACAUCACUAUUCCAACUGAUUGAUUUGAGAAUGCUGGGAAUACUGAUUCUUGACUGGUUGGUCAAACUGUCCUUUGUGUAACAAUACCUCGGUAAGACUGACAUUUAUUUCUCUCCUUAUUGCUGUCAUGGUAGUUUUGCAAUAGAUUAUUAAUCUGGAUAUUGUGACAGUGCUGGAAAUAAUUUCUUUUCUUAUUUAGUAAAGUGUAAAUAAAGCACUGCACUUUCUAUUUACAUCUGUGUAGUUCUCAUGUAUUAAGGUCCCUGAGCCAUAUUACUUAAGAAAGAGAAAUCUUUUACAAUGUAGGAAUACUUAUUGUUGGUAUGAAUAUAACUGGUGGUGAUCUCCGGGGCUUUAAGAAAAGUUCACGUUAAUAUUGGCAUGGAAUUGGCUAAAAACACUUCUGUGAGGUAGUGUAGAUGACCUCAAACACAUAUUGAAAUCAGUUUAUCAUAUAGAUUAAUUAGAAUAGUACUAGUUUGUAGAACUCUAUAUUGUGCAAAUGUCUUAUGGAAACAUUUGAAAAUACUCCUUAGCCUUUUAGACUGUUCUUUUUUCUAAAAAUGUUUUCCCCCCUAUGUUGUGCUGGGUGGUUUUCAGUGGGUCAGGCCAUCAUCUGGGAGUUUCGCAAUGGUGUUUUUAAGAUUAAAGACUGGCCUUGGGAAGUUCAAUGAUGACACUGGCAAAGAAACAACAGGCACGACGAAUCAAAAGGCUACGGAGUUAAUCUUGUGGCUGGGGCUUUGGGUGCCAUAUCAGAUGUCAUGUAUUCUGCCACAUCUACUCUCUCCUUCAUUUUGGACAGAGAUAUUAUUUUGAGGUACUUAAACCGAGGCAAAUUAUUGGGAUAACAGUGUAUUUUCCUCUAGCCCUUUGGAAUCAGUGCAGUCUUGUUCUACUGAUUCUCACACCGCAGCUAAGAUUCAAAGAUUAUACGUAUUAUCCCUCCUACCUUCUGUAGUUUAUUAAAGGCACAGAUGUCUUGAGACAGAUGAGCUGUCUCAAAUUCCUUAAGAACCCAACUUUCAAAAGCUGCCUACUAGCCUUUUGACUUUGAUGAAUGAAUAAACCUAACUUUUUUUAAACUUUUAGGGACAGACAAUUUGCAUCAUUCAUUAAUAAUUCAUAAUUCAUCAUUUAAUGUGAUUUUAGAUCAGAUGGAAUGAUACAAUCUACUGCUUUAUGUAUGUAUAAAUCUAUGUUUAUACAUAUUUCCCCAUAAUAUUUUUGAUUAGUUUUAAUUAAACCCACUCAUGCCUUAUUUGCCUGGCAAUAUGUGUCUUUAAACAGUAUACACUAUAUACUAUGCAUGGCUGGCUCAUAUUCAAGUCUACACACUGAACCGUGGCUAAAUAUAGAAGGAUGUGCUCUUUCAUGUGGCCUUUUCAUGGAAGAACUCAUGGCAGAGAAAUGAAGUCAUUAAAUACACGCCAAUUCAAGGUUACAUUGUUUGUGGGUUUUUAAACUCCCCCCAAAAUGAAAAUGAAUAAAUAUUUUGUUAUUUUUAA